rnacentral:tRNA from 1 species
GCCUCCAUAGCUCAGUGGUAUAAGAGCAGUCAUUCUGGUAUCAGAUGGUAAUGGGUUUCAAUCCCAUUGGAAACA